rnacentral:lncRNA from 1 species
AACAUUAUUCUAUGAGCCCAACUGAGAAAAUGAAUGGAAGUUCAACUAAGUAAGAUGUCAGCCCAACUUAAGGACUUAGGCAUCUGGUGAGUGGUUGGACAAGAUGACCUCUGAUUUCUCCAACUCUGAGAUUCUGUGAAUGGAGACAGGAGAUAGGAAUUUGUAAGGCUAAUUGGACUGAAAAGACUGAAUUACUGGUAUAAGGGAGUUCUGGGAAAUUAGGUUGGAAAGGUGGAUUAUGGCCUGGUUGCAUUUACAUCUUGGCUCUCCAGCUGGGCAUGUAGAUGCAUGUUGGGAGCAAAUGCACAUCAAAGAAGAGUGACAAGAUCAGGAAUCUUCUGCUUCCCCUUCUCCUUCCCCUUCCCCUUCCCCUCCCCCUUCCCCUCCUCCUCCUCCUUUUUCUUCUUCUUCCUCCUCUUCUUCCUCUUCUUCUUUUUUCUUCUUCUUUCUUCUUCUCCCUUCCUCUCCUCUCUUUUCAUCUUCCUCUUUUCUAACUUUUAUAGAAAAUGAAUAUCAAAUUCUCUCACUUUUAUGGGCCUCCUCUUCCUUGAAUUCCCAUAUGAAGUAACUUGAGCUCACUUCCCAUAUAAUGAAGGAAAGUUCUAUGCCAGAUACACAAAUCUGUCCUCUCUUUUCCUAUAAAUCUGAAAACAGUAAAUCUCCAUAAAGACAGGGACUAGUUUUACCUACAUCGUCUUACAAUAGUAUACAAAGACUUGCAUGCAAAUAGGACUCACUACAAUUUUUACUUUUUAUUUUUUAAUUAUGGUAAAAUACACAUAACAAAAUUUAUCAUCAACCAUUUUUAAGUGUACAUUUCAGUGGUAUUAAGUACAUUCACAUUGUUGAACAACCAUCACUACCAUCCAUCUCCAGAACUCUUUUCAUUUUGCAAAACUGAAACUUGGCCGAAUGCUGUGGCUCACGCCUGUAAUCCCAGCACUUUGGGAGGCUGAGGUGGGCAGAUCACCUGAGGUCAGGAGUUCGAGACCAGCCUGGCCAACAUGGUGAAACCCCGUCUCUACUGAACAUACAAAAAAAAUUAGCUGGGUCUGGUGGCAGGCGCCUGUAAUCCCAGCUACUUGGGAGGCUGAGACAGGAGAAUCGCUUGAACCCAGGAGGUGGAGGUUGCAGUGAGCCGAGAUGGCGCCGUUGCACUCCAGCCUGGGGGACAAGAGCAAGACUUUGUCUCAAAAAACAAAAAUAAAAACAAAAACAAACAAAAAACAAACAAACUGAAACUCUAUGCUCAUUAAACAAUAACUCCCCAUUCACUCCUUCCCUCAUCCCCUGGCAACCACCAUUCUAUUUCCUCUGUAAAUUGGAUUAUUCUAGGUUCCUUAUAUAAAUGGAACCACACAAUACUUGUCCUUUUGUAGAUGACUUAUUUCACUUAGCAUAAUGUCCUCAAGGUUCAUACAUAAUCUAUUCUAUACCAGACUUUCCUUCCUUUUUAAGGCCAAAUAAUACUCCAUUGCAUCUAUAUGGCACAUUUUAUUUAUUGACUCAUCUAACUAAAAUUAUUUUGAUAAGAAUCCUGUAGCCCAUAGAUCCAUUAAGGCCACAGACUUCUUUUGGGCCUGCAAAAGUCACCACUGUAUCACUUAAAAGUUUCCCAACAUUUCCUGAUUUUGUUUGACAGCCUAGAAUUCUUUGAGAUGCUUUUUAUUCUCAGACAUAGCUGCUGUUCUUUCAGGGAUCAGGGUAUCUUAGGGCCAGGGCUGUGGUUAAAUAGGAAGAAGGGUAAGAUCAAGGCCACAAGUAGGUUAAUAUUACCUUAUUCAACAAGUAUUCACAGGUCACUCUUUUUGGAAAACACCACCUUAGUUGCUUUGGUAGCUACUCUAUAUCACAAUGGCCAGGUGGCCUUUGGGUGGACAGAGUGAUAUAAUUUGUAAAUCAAUGGGCUUGACACUACUUAGACUCUGGGCUUAAUAACCAAGAUAGACUCUUACAGAGAAGUUGUGCUUUUCACACACAUGCAGGCAUUUCCACAAGUCAAGAAACAGCAGAAGAUACUGGACGCGGUGGCUCACGCCUGUAAUCUCAGCACUUUGGGAAGCCAAGGUGGGCAGAUCAUGAGGUCAAGAGAUCAAGACCAUCCUGGCCAACAUGGUGAAACCCCCAUCUCUACUAAAAAUACAAAAACUACCUGGGCGUGGUGGCGCGUGCCUAUAGUUCCAGCUACUCAGGAGGCUGAGGCAGGAGAAUCGCUUGAACCUGGGAGGCAGAGGUUGCAGUGAGCCGAGAUUGUGCCGCUGUACUCCAGCCUGGGUGACAGAGUGAGACUCCAUCUCAAAAAAAAAAAAAAGAAACAGCAGAAGAUGGACAAGAGACUCUGCCUCCCAUCUUCCCUUCACAACUCACCCUCCUUACCCCAACUACCUCCUUCCGGUGGCUUGGUUUUGAGGCCAUGUUGUAAAUUAGCUGCAAAAGAAGACCAGGGAAGACGUUUCUCCUACACCUUGCAAGCCCCCCUGUAUUUUCAGUAUUUCUGAUCAGCAAACAACUAAGUCUUGGCAGCCCAGAAUCCGUUCCUGGCACACACUGCACAAUUCGAGGGGACAUGAGGAGGCAUUGUGUGGUGCCCAUCCAGUGUCAUUUUAUGCAGUUGUCUUGGUGACUGUAUUCAGGUCUUGCAUUUUAUAUUUUAACCUAUCAAAUUAUUUUCUCUAUGCAACAGUCAUCCCUUUCAACUCUUCUAAUUAUAGCUUAAAAUCAGAGGACAAUAUUAAUAUUAAUAAUAUUAUUUAAUUUUGCAUUUACUGUUCAAAAAGUAUUUUUAUGUACAUUAGCUAAAUUAAUCCUCACCAAACACCCUAUAAUUGGUAGGUAACAUUAUUGUCAUCAUUUUUACAUUUGAGAAACUGAGAAAUGGACCCUCGGAAAGCUAAAGGGAAAUGCGAUCAGUAGUAACAUUUUUUUGAGCACCUAUUAUAUACCAGAUCCUUUACAUAUGCCCAAGUUCACAGAGCUAGUCAGGGUCAAAGCAAAGACUCAGCUUGGUUCUCCUGGUGAUUUUAAGGUGGUGCAAUUUCCAUGACAAACCAGCCUACCAGGUGUUGUUUGUCCACCUGAGAAAACUUCUAUUUGAGUAUUGGCACCAAAAUUAGAGUUCUUAUUCUUCAAAAAGUUGAAAAACAGCUGAGGUCAAUCUCCCAAAAGGCAACAACGUUUCCAUUCCAAUUCAUAAAGUCGCGAAGCAGUAAGAUCUGAAGGACACUGUUUUAUUUUUAUCGGAGAUGAAGCUUGUUUUUAUUUACAAUUUCCCUGGACGGGUUUAAGCCCUGAGAAGGAUGAAUUAACUCUGCCUUUGUAUAUUAAACAUUAUCAAACAUCCCCAUGCAGAUAUUAUGUUAUUAAAAUGAGUCCUGUGUGUGAGAUCAUUCUAUCUUGUUACAUUGUACACUAGGGCAAACUAUUUAGAAUAAAUUGAAAUGAAUAAUUAAUGAAAGAGAAGAGAAUACCUCUUUCAAGUUCCCAUAUACACUUGCCCUGUUCUUUUUUCUUGGCUUCUCUUACUUCCUCUUUCCACUCUUUAGUGUCAUUUUGACUCAUUUCCCCUCACUGUUUAUUCCUUCCUUUCCCUCAGAGUAGCUAUAAUGGCAGCCUAGCUACAAGCAAGAAGCCAAUGCUCUCUGAAGGAGAUGGCACGAAAGAUAGGAACAGCUCUUGCUCUUUCCUCAGGAAAAGCACACCAGGGUGUGGAGACAAAAGGACUCCAUUUUGGAUGCUGAUCUGCCAUAUUGAGUCCUGAUUAGCCCCAGUCCCAUGAAUGCCUCCUAAUUCCUCAUUUAUUUACUGUCCUUAGUGUAAGAACAUGUCAAACCUGAUAUUAUCAGACAAACUAUAGGCUAUAAUGCAUAUGGCAUUCUUGCCUGUUUUGGAGGGUUGCUUUUAAUUGUCUUGCUGGAGCACGUAUACCCUUUCCCUGUGGUAUAUAAGCCCUGGGUCUGGGAAGCAACAGUGCAGAGAUCUGCCUUGCCGCCACAUUUCCAU